rnacentral:rRNA from 1 species
ACGGAGGGUGCAAGCGUUAUCCGGAAUUACUGGGUUUAAAGGGUGCGUAGGCGGCUAUAUAAGUCAGGAGUGAAAGGUUCCCGCUAAACGGGAGACGGUCUUUUGAUACUGUAUAGCUUGAAUAAGGUUGAGGUUAGCGGAAUGUGACAUGUAGCGGUGAAAUGCAUAGAUAUGUCAUAGAACACCAAUUGCGAAGGCAGCUGGCUAGACCUUUAUUGACGCUGAGGCACGAAAGCGUGGGGAGCGAACAGG